CGGGUGAGUAACACGUAAGUAACCUGCCUUUAAGACGAGGAUAACAACCGGAAGGUUACUAAGACUGGAUAGGAAACAAAAAGGCAUCUUUUUGUUUUUAAAAGACCUUCUUACGAAGGUAUGCUUAAAGAGGGGCUUGCGCCACAUUAGUUAGUUGGUAGAGUAAAAGCCUACCAAGACGAUGAUGUGUAGCUGGACUGAGAGGUUGAACAGCCACAUUGGGACUGAGACACGGCCCAAACUCCUACGGGAGGCAGCAGUAGGGAAUUUUCGGCAAUGGAGGAAACUCUGACCGAGCAACGCCGCGUGAACGAUGAAGUAUUUCGGUAUGUAAAGUUCUUUUAUUGAAGAAGAAAAAGUAGUGGAAAAACUAUAUUGACGUUAUUCAAUGAAUAAGCCCCGGCUAACUAUGUGCCAGCAGCCGCGGUAAGACAUAGGGGGCGAGCGUUAUCCGGAAUUAUUGGGCGUAAAGGGUGCGUAGGCUGUUAGAUAAGUCUAUAAUUUAAUUUCAGUGCUUAACGCUGUCUUGUUAUAGAAACUGUCUUGACUAGAGUGAGAUAGAGGCAAGCGGAAUUCCAUGUGUAGCGGUAAAAUGUGUAAAUAUAUGGAGGAACACCAGAAGCGUAGGCGGCUUGCUGGGUCUUUACUGACGCUGAGGCACGAAAGCGUGGGUAGCAAACAGGAUUAGAUACCCUGGUAGUCCACGCCGUAAACGAUGAGUACUAAGUGUCGGGGUAAAACUCGGUACUGAAGUUAACACAUUAAGUACUCCGCCUGAGUAGUACGUACGCAAGUAUGAAACUUAAAGGAAUUGACGGGACUCCGCACAAGCGGUGGAUCAUGUUGUUUAAUUCGAAGAUACACGAAAAAUCUUACCAGGUCUUGACAUACUCUGCAAAGCUAUAGAAAUAUAGUGGAGGUUAUCAGGGAUACAGGUGGUGCAUGGUUGUCGUCAGUUCGUGUCGUGAGAUGUUAGGUUAAGUCCUAAAACGAACGCAACCCUUGUCGUUAAUUGCCAGCACAUAAUGGUGGGGACUUUAACGAGACUGCCAAUUAAACAUUGGAGGAAGGUGAGGAUUACGUCAAAUCAUCAUGCCCCUUAUGAUCUGGGCUACAAACGUGAUACAAUGGCUGUGACAAAGAGUAGCUGAAACGCGAGUUUUUAGCCAAUCUCAAAAAAGCAGUCUCAGUUCGGAUUGAAGUCUGUAACUCGACUUCAUGAAGUUGGAAUCGCUAGUAAUCGCGAAUCAGCAUGUCGCGGUGAAUACGUUCUCGGGGUUUGUACACACCGCC
rnacentral:rRNA from 1 species